UGUCUUUUUUUGUAGUUUUUUGUCUCAUUUGGGUUUGUUGUUUUCUGUACGCAAUGACCUAAAGAAAAGAGAGACCACAGCUGCUGUUCAUCAACAUGCUCAGACACGCAGUGACGACACACACAAACACACAAUACACACCACACACACACACACACACACACAAUACAAUACACACACAUGCAAACUCACAAUACACACCACAGACACACACAAUACAAUACACACCCCACACACACACACACACACGUGCGCAAACUCACAAUACACACCACACACACACAAUACACACACCACACACACACACACACACACACACACACACACACACACACACACACACACACACACACACACACACACACACACACACAGGCACAGUGAGAGAAGGGCUUCAGUCCAGCUCGGGGUCUAUCUUAACCAUGUGUUGUAGGCUACAUUGUGUUGCACAUGUGCUGUAUUAUACUUCCUCCUCAUAUUCUUUAUACUCUCCACCGUCCUGCUCGUUUCAGCGUACACUGUGGCGAUCAGCUAUGGUUCAACUGAGAGCUGUGGGUUUGAAACCUGUGUUUAAGCACAGCCCCACAGUGUCAUGUAUUAAUGUAUGUGAUGUAUGCGGACAGGACCCAUCAGACCCAGCCUGCUGUCCACUCUACGGACUACGGAGUAUCCAUCCCCUCAGACUCUGUUCACCAGUGUUCGCUGCCGUACAGAGGGAGGGUUUGUGUUUUUAUAUUCUUUAUCAUUUGUGUAUCAUCUUGUGUGUGUGAGCCAGCAUUCUGACUACAGGAGGGAACGGGGGAUUCUUCGGAACGAAACCGAGUGUAAAAAUAGCCACCAGUUAUAAACAACAAGUCCUGAAGUGGUUUGUUUUUUUAUCGGAAGCCAAAACCAGCCAAAGACUUUUCAAAAUAAAAGUCCCAAGCAGUCAGUUAUGUAAUGCAGAUUAUCAGGACACUUAAAUAUUACAAAGCCCAACACAGUAUUACUAAUGUUCCUAUACUUGUGCGUCGUUGUUAUUGUAUUACUAUUGGUCAAAUAAUUGAGGAAAUGCGCCACUAUUUAUGACGCUUUGUAUCGUCGUUGCCAUGAACUUUUAUUUUUCAAGAGUUUUAUUAUUACUGCAUACUUGUAUGAAAUGGCCAACGAGAGGUUUUCUACUGCAAUUAAAUCAAAUAAAGGUGAUCCGAUACCUGCGAAACAUUCCAACAGAUGUAAAGGGAGAUUUUGUGGGAAUGGUAGACUUUUUAAAUAUUAUUAUCUACUUUGUAAAUAUUUGAUGACUAACUCUGAGUUAUGAGUGACAAUAAAUAUAAUGUUGAAUACCUGAUUUUGUGAGAUCUUAUGGUUUAAUUUAGAGACAUACUUUAUGAAUUUCCCUAUGUAGCAAAAAACAUAAACCAUUGCAGUAGUCAGAUAAGAUAGGUAUGUUGUAAUGAAAAUAAAUGAAUCACUCAACCAAGCAAUAGCAGAUGUAGGCGAUAUGUACAAAACGGCCUAUAUUCACUAGUUUAUUGAAAUAGCUCAACUUCGCAGACACCCCAAAAGGGCGAGGUCCCACCGAGAUUUGAACUCGGAUCGCUGGAUUCAAAGUCCAGAGUGCUAACCAUUACACCAUGGGACCGGAUGGUACAGCAACAACGACAUUUCCGAUUUUGUUAACAACCAAACAAUCAGUGCUAGUAUCACGGAGUUUUGAAAUAUUUAUUCAUGAUUAAUCCAUGCUGUAGUGCACGUAUACCCACAACAAAUGACCACUGCGUAGCGACUUCAACUGGUUCCACGGCGGUCUAACCACAAGACGGAGCUCGUGGAACGGGGUUAUCCCGAUAAGCAUUACUGGCGUGAGAGAGGGCGGGACUAGCGGCGAUAGAGGGGGCGGGACUUCCGAUAGACGGUAAUCCCUCGACAUGUUGCGGCCUUGGUCAAUCAUAUUUUUCAAAAAUCCCGAUAUUUAUUCCCCUUGUCGUUGUUGUUACUCUUCUUGUUAUUCCCUCUCUGGGGACUGUUAACUGGCGCGGACAGCGCAAAGGAAGUUUAAGAACGGAAUUUCGUUGCUGUGGACCGGGAUAACGCUACAACUCAGGAUCAUCUCUUGGCCUCGUAGAGAUUUUAUCGACCACUUUGCUUUCCAAAUAUAUUAGCUACAAUGAACGGCCGGAACACGAUGUACUACUUGGAUUACAAUAAUAUAGUUGAUUUCAGUGCUUCAAGACAAGAGGCAUGUCAUCCUCCGUUGUUCAAUGUAACUCGGCUUAAUAUACCAGAUCUGCUGGUCCCAAUCAGUCCACGCUGUCUCUGAUGGUGACUUUGGGCUUUGAGAAGCAGGUUAACGAUUUGACUGUGGCCAAUUGAAUGUGUUUACGAAUUUGUUGAAUUAUUAUCUAUCUAUCUGUGUGUUAGAACACGAUGUGGAUAUGAUAUCUAUGAUAUCCGUGCGAGUGUGAGUCCACUGUAAGCGGUGGGCGUUUUUGGGUGCAGUAAUAAGACGUGUCGACCGGGGGCGGAGUGGUGCAGAGGAUGACUGUAAUUAGGACUAAUUAGGAGACGAUAGUUUCAAAUAAAACUCAUCGAUGAUCUCUUAUGAGCAAACUUUUAAUUAUACUUCAUAAAAUACACGCCAAAUUAAACAGGUCAUCUAAAAAGCAUUUAAUGACAUUUUUCCGGUUAUGUUUUGAUUUCGCUCACAUCUCCGAUAUUAAAUCGCAUUGAUACACCAAUACACAAAGAUAAUCAAUGGCAAUUGUUAUUGUAAUAUUGUUCGGCCAAAAAAAUAUUUUAAAACAAUGGAAAUAAAUCAGGACCAACCUGCUAUUGGUCAAGUGGAUGUGUGUUCACGUUGCUCUUCUUUAGUUCCUGAACUCAAACCUCUGAACAUGCAUCGUUCUUGUUGCCAUAGUGAUUUUUUAGUCUGGAAUCCCAAAAUAUUUUUGGAGCCAUCAUGCGUCUCUAAGCAUGAACUGACCGACGCCAUCAGUGGGCAUUUCAGCCAUCUGCAAAGAACUAUAAUCAACUAUUCAAAUGUCUGUUUCAUCAAAUUAACACAAAGGCCCCUUCUUAAAAUCUUUUUUUAUUAGAAUCCCCUAUUAGUCAUUCUCGAGACCUUACGGAUAAUUCAUUCAUUCAUUCAAACUUCAUCUGAUCUAACUCCAAACAUUCAGUCCAAGAAAUAAAACAAUCCGGCUCACAGAACCAUAUUGAACGGAGAGGUACAUUUGAA